ensembl:lncRNA
CUGAGUUGAAGAUAGAGUUUGAGGAGUCAUCCCAAUAUGGAUAGCAUUUGUUGUAAAUUAGAAGGUGGUAAAAACUUGCCUUUGGAAAAAAGUUUAAAAAUUGCAGUGAGACUUAUGAAUACUCUUCAACUUCACCUGUUGGAAUAAAGGUCUUUCUUGUAAUCAGGAGAUCCUGUUGACAUGUGGCAAUGAGCAGGAAGAAAAUCUUGUUAUGUAGAUAACAAUCUGUGACUGAUGGAGCUGCCUGAGUGAGGGAAAGCAGGGAUGUUGACGCAUCAGUAAACACCGAAUGCCUCUGGAAACAAUGUUUAUUCUACAGGCCCCCAUUCAUUCCUCAGGAGUAACGCAGAAGGGACACUGACCAGCACAGCAGAGAGGGAGGUGUUUAAAAUGGAUUCUGUGGGUGUAGAGCCACUGUUUUCCCUGCAAAUGGUCUAGCAAAUCAACAGACUAUGUCCUCCUCUCCUACGUUUUGUCUGACAAGCAGCAUUUUUUUAAUAAAAGACAGGUGAACGAGUAAAUGAAUGCAGUGCAGAUCCAGUGCAGAUAGCUGCCUGCUGGCUGUGUUGGAACCAGGGAGACGUCAAAUGGGUAGGGUAUGAGUCGCUCUCAUCACUCAAACCCAAAGGGUUUCAAAUUUAGUGAUUGUUUUCUAUCUAAUGGCAGAAGGUGCUGAUUCUUCCUUGUUAUCAACAAUAACCCCCUGAAUACACCUGUGAAAGAACUCUCAAGCCCCUUGUGCCUGGGAUUUCUUAUCCUACAGGACACUGUAACCUGGUGGGGAGUCCUACUUGGGCCUCAGGGAAGUAGAUGUCAUUGUGCAGGGCCUGGAGUUAGACUCCAACAGAAACUUGCCAGUGUACUGGAUUCUGCCAUGCCACAUCUCAGCAGCAAAUUCUCUUCUUAUUUUUCCAUGCCCUAUUUUAGACAAAGUUUCUAGGAUAUUCUGGCUCUCUCUCUUUGACACCCCCACCACCCUGCACCUCCAAAAUCAUCACUAGUCUGUUACCUGGAGAUCCUUUGAUUCUCCAUAUCUGGUCCAGAGCUGGAAAAGAUCUGACAUACUAUAUGGUUAGAUGCGAUUUCUUUCCCUAGGGGCUGCAAUUCUCUGCCUAUGAUUUGCUAACAUCUUGAUGAACCCCUCCUCUUCCCAGCAUGCCAUUGAAUUGAUGCUGCACUGUACAACGUUCUAGUCUCCUGUAGAAAGCUGGUGCACAGAGCUGGGGGAAAGUGGUAGAGAGAGCAGGAAUGGCAUUGGGCAUUGAAUAUAGAGAUCAGAUCAUGGUGCAGGACAGUAACCACCUCAGGUACCAUGUUCAGAUGGAGGUAUGAAACGGAGUGCCAAUAUGGUGUAGUCUACGAAUAAACUAAGGGAGAUUUGAGAAAACCAUGUGGAACAAUCCUGGAGGACCCAGCUUUAUUGGUCAGUUUGUCAUACUUAGGUAAUACACUGGUUUUAAGAUACAAUGUCCAGAAUAUACAUAUUAAACAAAUUCUUAAAAGACAAGGAUGGAACUCUGAGAAGCAGUCUUUGAACAAAAGGAUAAUAGAGUGUAGAAAGUUAAUACUCUUAGGACUCAGGAUAAUAAAUAAGAAAAUGUCUCGUUCUCAAGGACUUUGGAGCCUAUGUGGAAUGUCGGCAUGUAUAUGUUAUAGUACCAAAAAAUAAACCCUAUCCUAGAAAUCAAAAUCAAGCGCUAUGAAAGGGCACCAAGUAACUCUAGGUGGAAGAGCCAGAUGGGAUCUCACAGAAGAGGUAAUAAUUGGGUUGGAUCAUAAAGCAGAGGUUGCAGCACAUGAGGAGUGAAAAAGAAAGAGGGCAUUCCUGGCAGCUGGAUCAGAAUGACAAGAGCAGAGAGAGGUGCCAG